GACGAACGCUGGCGGCGUGCUUAACACAUGCAAGUCGAACGAAGAGCGAUGGAAGCUUGCUUCUAUCAAUCUUAGUGGCGAACGGGUGAGUAACGCGUAAUCAACCUGCCCUUCAGAGGGGGACAACAGUUGGAAACGACUGCUAAUACCGCAUACGAUCCAACCUCGGCAUCGAGGAUGGAUGAAAGGUGGCCUCUAUUUAUAAGCUAUCACUGAAGGAGGGGAUUGCGUCUGAUUAGCUAGUUGGAGGGGUAACGGCCCACCAAGGCAAUGAUCAGUAGCCGGUCUGAGAGGAUGAACGGCCACAUUGGGACUGAGACACGGCCCAGACUCCUACGGGAGGCAGCAGUGGGGAAUCUUCCGCAAUGGACGAAAGUCUGACGGAGCAACGCCGCGUGAGUGAUGACGGCCUUCGGGUUGUAAAGCUCUGUUAAUCGGGACGAAAGGUCCUCUUGCGAAUAGUUAGAGGAAUUGACGGUACCG
rnacentral:rRNA from 1 species